rnacentral:sRNA from 1 species
GUUGGCUUAACGAGCGCAGAUGUG